UUGGCCGUGCUGGUCUUGAACUCCUGACCUCAAGUGAUUUGCCUGCUUUGGCCUCCCAAAGUGCUGGGAUUACAGACAUGAGUCACCAUGCCCUGCCUGCAGCUUCUUCUUGAAGUGUUCUGGACUUGGAAGAUUUGUUGAAUUACUAUGAAGUCACAUCUAAAGUUUGAAAGCUGCUGUGUGUGAAAACCUGACUCCAGUCCUCCCAGCCUCUAGGACCCUGCCCAGACCUGGCCUACCUUCUUCCUCACCGCCACUGGAAAAAAACAGACGUCAAAAGCCUUAACAAAAUACUGUCUGAUAUAGCAAAAUGGAACAUGUUUCCUACUAGAAGUAUAUGACCCGAAGGGGGAAAAAUCUGACUCAUUUUAAAAACAAUUGUUAGGGGUGUGUGUGUUUUGAGAGAAAGAAAUAGAAAAGGGCCAAUGUAUUUGCUAUUAAAAAAAUCUUCAAAAUAACAGAAAAAAUUUAAAACUAUGUACUCAAAAAAUGAAUUGCUUUUGUCGUAUUAGAAGUCUAGCCAACAGAAGUAAGGGGAUGGAGACUGAACCAACCAGAGGAGAAAAGGUGGAAGGCGCUGCCCCAGCAGAGACCAGAACAGGGCCAGAUAAAGUUAGGGUCAAAGAUCCACACCCUGUUUGGAAACUAAGCAAUCAACAAGUGUCAGUUGUUAUUUAGGUGCACCAAACAUUUUGGGGGGAAAUGUGAUUUCAGACACAGAUAAUUAUAUGAUAGGGGCCUAUUUGGCUUUCAGAGAAAAUUUUCAAGAUAAAUCAGUAGCUUUAAAUAAAAAUCUAAGUUUGUAAUCAAAGUUUUUCAGAAAUAGCAGAGAAACAUAUUUUCCUUUAAGUAGUUCUCUGUUAAUAGUCUCUAGUCUCAAGCAGUUUUAAUUUUAAAUAGGACUACCUCUAACUUUGUGGGGUCUGGGGCAAGGGUACAAAUAGAGGCCCAUACAGCAUAUACCUAGAUAUUUAAUUUUUUGUUUGUUUGUUUUUUGAGAUGGAGUCUUGCUCUGUCACCCAGGCUGGAGUGCAGUGGCAUGAUCUUGGCUCACUGCAACCUCCACCUCCCUAGUUCAAGCGAUUCUCCUGCUUCAGUCUCCUGAAUAGCUGGGACUACAGGUGCGCGCCACCAUGCCUGGCUAAUUCUUUGUAUUUUUAAUAGAGACAGGGUUUCACCAUGUUAUUCAGGCUGGUCUCGAACUCCUGACCUCAAAUGAUCCACCCACCUCAGCCUCCCAAAGUGCUGGGAUUACAGGCGUGAGCCACUGCGCCUGGCCUGCCAUUCCCUUCUUCCAAUUCUAUUAGGAGGCAGUGUGAAGAAUUCUUUCCCUGCUAUAUGAAUUACAUCACCUACCUUAAAAGUAGGCAGCUACAGUUGGGGUUGAUUGU
rnacentral:lncRNA from 10 species